GGUCUCCUGUGGAUUUAAUUUCUGGGUUUUUUUCGUUAUUUUUUCUUUCAAUCUUUGGAGUUUUUAUUCACUCAGGAGUCUGUCGUCACUGCCUGUAGAAUGGGGUCUGAUGACUCGUACAAUUUUGUGUUUAAAGUGGUUCUAAUAGGAGAGUCGGGUGUAGGAAAAAGCAACCUUCUCUCCCGCUUCACUAAAAAUGAGUUCAACCACGACAGUCGCACCACCAUCGGAGUGGAGUUCAGCACACGGACGGUUCAGCUGGACAACUUCAUCAUCAAAGCCCAAAUCUGGGACACAGCAGGGCUGGAGCGCUACAGGGCUAUCACCUCAGCGUAUUACAGAGGAGCUGUUGGGGCCUUGUUGGUGUAUGACAUCAGUAAACACUUGACCUACGAGAGUGCAGAGCGCUGGCUGAAGGAGCUGUACGAACAUGCAGACCCUCAUAUUGUGGUCAUGUUGGUGGGAAAUAAGAGCGACCUGGAAUCUGUCAGGACUGUGCCCACAGAGGAAGCCAAGGACUUUGCAGAGAAAAGAGGCCUAAUGUUUAUGGAAACAUCAGCGCUGGAUUCCACCAAUGUGGAGGUUGCCUUCAAUGAAGUCCUGACUGCCAUCCAUAAGAAGGUGGCCAGCAGGGAGGUGACCCGUGGCUCCAUCAGCGCUGUAACUCUAUCCAACUCCAUCGGUCCCACCAGUGAGGCGCAGGAGGAGCGCAGAAGCUGCUGCAAGAGUUCCUAACAGACCGUCUCCCCCUGCUCAUCUGUGGUGUCCAGGAUGAAGCCACAUCCUCUUUGACUGUUGAACAUGAAGUCGUUUACCCACACACUGGCUGAAGAUGAGGUGAAGGUUAUGUUUGCAAAAACACAUUAAUGAGCUCUUCGGCAGGAGGACUGAAAGAAGCCAGACGACCACGAAGAUAAAGGUCGAAGUAGGUGGAAAAAAGUGGAUUUAGGACCUACAGGUGGUUGUCAUAACUCCUGUAUGUAAAAGACAUGUGUAGCCUGUUAAGAAAAGUGUAUCUAAAGCCUUGGUUCCCAAACCCUUUGCGGCACUCCGCCGUGCUGGCA